rnacentral:rRNA from 1 species
CGUGAGCAAUCUGCCUUGGAGUGGGGAAUAACGGUUGGAAACAGCCGCUAAUACCGCAUGAUGCGUCUGGGAGGCAUCUCUCUGGACGCCAAAGAUUUAUCGCUCUGAGAUGAGCUCGCGUCUGAUUAGCUUGUUGGCGGGGUAAAGGCCCACCAAGGCGACGAUCAGUAGCCGGACUGAGAGGUUGGCCGGCCACAUUGGGACUGAGACACGGCCCAAACUCCUACGGAAGGCAGCAG